AUUUGCUGAAUGAAAACAUCUAUUUACCGCGAUCUGGCAACCUUAGACAGCAUCCAAAUAUGGCGCGCAUUUUCAAUUACUGUUUUGCUGGUUCGGUUACAAGUUGAUUUCAGUCUUUUUUCCGCAGCAGCAGCAGCAAAUCGAAACAAAAGGAAAACAAAUUAAUAUAAGAAAAAUUGUGUAAGUAUAUGGAAACUGGAGAUGGAGACGGAGAUGGAGACGGAGUUGGAGACGGAGUUGGAGCUGGAGAGACUGCCAGCAACAUUCGCACGCUUUUGGCUAUUUGUGGCUCGCUCUAAUUGUGUUUUGGGCGAAAAGCCUUUAGGACAAUGCGUUGCCUGCAAAUGCAAUUAACCAGCCAUAACGCCCACACAAAUUUGAAGCAAACGCUUCCUUUUUGAUGUCACUUUGGCAAAUCAAAACAUAAAACACAGACGACAUGCAUGAGGACAUCAAACGUUGUUCCUCUGUUGUGUCUCUGCUGUCUGUCUGUCAUACGUGGAAAUAUUUGAAAUAUGAUAAGCAUAUCAAAAGUUAUCUCUGAAGGGAAGGUUUGACAGCAAUUACAGAAAUGGAAUGUUUUAAUGAAUUUAUAUUUCAAUGUUGAGUGCCAAAAAAAGGGUCGAAAGGGAGAGAUUGAAUUAUUUUCUUUAUUCUUCUUUAUUUUUUUGGGAAGAUGACAACUAAAAUAGAACUUUGUUAGUUUCACUAUUUUUAUCUUAAGGUAGGUCGUUGAACUGAAUGCAUUUCAUUCCAUUUUUUUGGGGACUGAUGUCAGAUCAAUGCACUUUUGGUUAAAGCACUUCGUGGUACUCUUGGGUCAAAUAUAAGUAUUUAUUUUUAUACUGCCGAAAAUCUUUACCAUACACUGCACGAAAUAAAUUAUAGAAAAAGUUGUAUAGUAUUUCAUUUAGCAUUUGAAUAAGCUUGUUACGUAGGAAGGAAGUCUAAGCACAAAUGACCUAGAACUUGAACUGUUUUGUGCGUUGAUCGAGAUAGGAAAAACCAGCGAGGUGGCUGCUAUUGUUCAUGCGAAGGUCGUCACUGCAUAUGUUUGCAAAUUUGAAUUAU